rnacentral:misc_RNA from 1 species
GGUGUGUUUGAUGUUACCGCGUUGCCGACACCAAGCAAGCUCCAGUCUGAGCUAAGCCAUCAACGAGAUAGGUUCUCUUCUCUGACCACCUAGAACUUCCUGGGAGAUACAUAACUGACGACAAGGGGAAAACCUCGAAUGGAGAUGAGUCUGACCAAAAAUAUGGAACAUGUCAAGCGACCAAUGAAUGCAUUUAUGGUGUGGUCCCGAGAGGAGCGUAGAAAAAUUGCCCAAGAAAACCCAAAGAUGCAUAACUCGGAGAUAAGCAAGCGACUUGGAACGGAGUGGAAACAGCUCACAGACGACGACAAGAAACCUUAUGUUGAGGAAGCCAAAAAGCUCAGAGCACAGCACAUGAAGGAUUACCCAGAUUACAAAUACAGACCACGACGAAAGCCUAAAUCGCUGCUGAAGAAGGCUGAUAGGUAUCCUUUCCACUUGACUUGCCUCCCAACUCCUGAAGAAAUGGCCAAAUGUGGCUCACUCCCCUCGACGACGUCCUUGAUGACUGAUAGCUACUCUUCCAUAGGCGGAAAAGCCCGCUCUUUUCUACCUGUUUCAACGCCGUAUCCGUACGACAUCAACAGUUUAACUUCCGUAAGCCAUGCGUCACUCACAGGUUCGAGGAUAGGCGAGCGAGGUUUAGAAAUGCCGAGUGCCAUUCGACCUGACAUUUUGUCCAGUGGACAAUUAUACCAACAUGGUGUGUAUCAAAGUGGGCCAGCUAGUAACUCAAGUUUGUUGAACGCUUCUGGAGUCUCGGUUCAUCCUGGUGGGCAACUUAGUCCCCACUCGCAUCUCCACGCUGUACAAGGCGCGAACGGACAGUAUUCUAUACCUUGUAACUGCUCAUGGCAACCGCAGGAUGUUCGAAGGCCAGUGGCGUACUUGUUACUCUAACUUUGAACAUUUUCUCGACUGCAAUCUAUUUAUCAAAAUGUUGUUCUAUGUAUUUAUGUACUCAAGUCCGACCGAUGUCCAAGGACACACCGUGUAAAUGAUCGUAAAAUGAUGAACAUAUUUUUAUUACCAAGUAUACACAAGUUGAUAAUACUUGAUUUUCUUUGAUGAAUUGACGAAGACAUGCUGAAUUUGUCUAAGACAUGGCUGAGGCAUUAUUGAAGAGCUAACAGUUUUUCGUGCGUUUCGAGUCCUGCUGGGGCCAAGAUCCAGCCACGCGCGCAUUGAAAAUCAAGGACCCGACUAGAUGGUAAUUAUAUAAAAGAAAUAGUUGAACAAGAGGCGAGAAUAACAACAUAAUCAAAAAUACAUGAGGUGAUGAAUGAAAAGGAUGACAUAAAUAAAUAAAUAGACGAUCAGGAGAAGAUAAAAUGAAUAACAAUGGUGAAUGAAUUACAAUUGUCUUAAUACCUAUAUCACCAUAACAAUAGAUUACAUCAACAAUAGACAAUAAGUGAAUAGCGGCAAGAGAAAGACUUAGGUAAAUAAACCAAACAGGAAUGAAAGGAAUGGUCAGCGAUGGGCGCGAAAGUGAUGAAAACAAGUUUGUAUGCUUAUACUAUGUUUAUCGAUGCUUAAGUGAAAUACGUCGAUAACAAUCGGUUCAAAGACCCAGCCGCUUAGCCUGUAUCUAAAAUAAAUAUCUUUCCAAAAUGAGAAGGAAUGGCUUUCAAGUUUAGACAAUUUGCUUAUUAAAGAACGAAUAUUGAAAUAAAAAAAGGCUGUCGAGUUUCUAUGCAACCGAACUCUCCUGAAUGAAUUUGUCAGCACUUUUCCCCGAGAAAAACUUAUCGCUUCAAAUGUUUUAGACAGAUGGCCCAUAGCUUCUUUUAUGAGGUUUAGAUAAGAAAAGAAAAGAGACAUUUAUUUGGCUUAAAGAGGCAGAGUCUCCGAUGGAAAUCGAAGAUCCCAAUUAUGUCUGUAUUGUUUUAACAGUACUCUAUAACUCAUUUGUAAAACAAUCCUAACCAGAUUUCUCUUGUAGUUAAUUUUUCACGGUCCUAGGAGUUAACGAUUCAACAACACAU